UGGCUCAGUGGUAAAGAAUCUGCCUGCCAAGCAGGAGACCCAGGCUCGAUACCUGG
rnacentral:tRNA from 1 species